AGCGAACGGUGGCGGCGUGGAUUAGGCAUGCAAGUCGAGCGCGAAAGGCCCGCAAGGGCUGAGUAAAGCGGCGGACGGGUGAGUAACGUAUGGACAACCUACCUCCAACCCGGGGAUAACAGCUGGAAACGGCUGCUAAUACCCGAUAGCUCCGGUAGCGAAUUUCGCAGCCGGAUAAAGGGGGGCAACUCCCAGUUAGAGAGGGGUCCAUAUCCCAUCAGCUAGUUGGCGGGGUAAUGGCCCACCAAGGCAACGACGGGUAGCCGGACUGAGAGGUCGACCGGCCACAUCGGGACUGAGACACUGCCCGGACUCCUACGGGAGGCUGCAGUCGAGAAUCUUCCGCAAUGUGCGAAAGCAUGACGGAGCGACGCCGCGUGCAGGAUGAAGGCCUGGUUGUAACUAGCUGUCACCGUUAACGAACGUU
rnacentral:rRNA from 1 species